rnacentral:lncRNA from 1 species
GCCACUCCUGUCAACUUGGUCGGGCGGUGAACAGCUGCCCUGUCGCCCCUAACACGUUGAAGACCGCCAAGUUGAUGAACGGAGUCACUCCUGUCAACUUUCCAGCCAUCAAUUGGUCUUAACUUUGUCCUCCAAAGGCUUCAACCUCUCGGCCAACUAGAAUACCUCAAAAUCGUUUGGCCAUACACUGGCCUUCAGCUCUCGGCCAUCAACUGGCCUCGCUUCCCAACCUUCUAAGGCAUCAACCAUUCGGCCAUACACUAGCCUUCAGUUCUCGGCCAUCAACUGACCUCACUUCUCCGCCUUCUAAAGCUCAAACCGUACGGCCUUCAACUGGCCUCAAGCUCUCGACCUCCAAAGGCCUCAACCUCUCGGCCAACUAGAAGGCCUCGAAUCCGUUCGACCAUACACUGGUCUUCAACUCUCGGCCAUCAACUAGCCUCACUUCCCAGCCUUCUAAGGCUCCAACCGUUCGACCAUACACUGGCCUUCAGUUCUCGGCCAUCAAUUGGCCUCACUUCUCCGCCUUCUAAGGCUCAAACCAUUCGGCCUUCAAUUGGCCUCAACCUCUCGGCCAACUAGAAGGCCUCAAAUUCGUUCGGCCAUACAUUGGCCUUUAGCUCUCAGCCAUCAACUGGCCUCACUUCUCAACCUUCUAUGGCUCAAACCAUUCGGCCUUCAACUGGCCUCAAGCUCUCGGCCUCCAAAGGCCCCAACCUCUCGGCCAACUGGAAGGCCUUAAAUCCAUUCGGCCAUACACUGGCCUUCAGCUCUCGGCCAUCAACUGGCCUCCCUUCUCCGCCUUCUCAAGGGUAGGAGGAGGAGGGUGUACUUCAUCAUGUUCUUCUUCAUCAUCAUCACCUUCUAUUGGUGCUUCUAAUUCAUCUCCAUCACCAUCAGGGUCGCGC